rnacentral:rRNA from 1 species
AACGAACGCUGGCGGCGCGUCUUAAACAUGCAAGUCGAACGGCAGGAAGGGGCUUGCCCCUUCUGAGAGUGGCGGACUGGUGAGUAACACGUGGGUGACAUACCUUUUAGUUGGGGAUAGCUAUUAGAAAUAGUAGGUAAUACCGAAUGUGACCGUACCUGUUAGAGGGGUACGAGGAAAGGAGCUAAGGCUUCGCUAAAAGAAUGGCUCGCGGCCCAUUAUGCUCGUUGGUGAGGUAACGGCCCACCAAGGCGAUGAUGGGUAUCCGGCCUGAGAGGGUGAACGGACACAUUGGGACUGAGAUACGGCCCAGACUUCUACGGGGGGCAGCAGUUAAGAAUAUUCCGCAAUGGACGAAAGUCUGACGGAGCGACGCCGCGUGGAUGAAGAAUGCCGAAAGGUUGUAAAAUCCUUUUAAGCCUGAUGAAUAAGCACAGUAGGGAAUGAUUGUGCGGUGACCGUAGGGCUUGAAUAAGCACCGGCUAAUUACGUG